rnacentral:rRNA from 1 species
GAUGAACGCUGGCGGCGUGCCUAAUACAUGCAAGUCGAGCGAACGGACGAGAAGCUUGCUUCUCUGAUGUUAGCGGCGGACGGGUGAGUAACACGUGGAUAACCUACCCAUAAGACUGGGAUAACUUCGGGAAACCGUAGCUAAUACCGGAUAAUAUUUUGAACCGCAUGGUUCAAAAGUGAAAGACGGUCUUGCUGUCACUUAUAGAUGGAUCCGCGCUGCAUUAGCUAGUUGGUAAGGUAACGGCUUACCAAGGCAACGAUGCAUAGCCGACCUGAGAGGGUGAUCGGCCACACUGGAACUGAGACACGGUCCAGACUCCUACGGGAGGCAGCAGUAGGGAAUCUUCCGCAAUGGGCGAAAGCCUGACGGAGCAACGCCGCGUGAGUGAUGAAGGUCUUCGGAUCGUAAAACUCUGUUAUUAGGGAAGAACAUAUGUGUAAGUAGCUGUGCACAUCUUGACGGUACCUAAUCAGAAAGCCACGGCUAACUACGUG